rnacentral:lncRNA from 1 species
AGCAGGAGGAAAGGUCUUUCUUCUGAGUUUGGCUUGUGAAGAUCAUAGUACUACUUGUGAGCUUCUACCUGACAAGAUUCCUUCCUUCAUUCCAGCUGGUUGGAAUUGCCUACCUUUCUCCCAUUGUGUUGGCACCCAAAGUGGACGUGAAUUGGAUCCACUGGUGAACUCACCUGUGAGACAAACUUGGAGUAAAACAGACAGCACUCAGAUCUCCCAGGACUGUUUCCAGACAAGGACAAGGGACACUGAUGGUAAGUUUGUCCAGCUAAUGGCAAACUUCUAUCUUUGCUGAAUUGAAAAUAUAAGUCAGU